rnacentral:rRNA from 1 species
CCCAGACUCCUACGGGAGGCAGCAGUGGGGGAUAUUGCACAAUGGGGGGAACCCUGAUGCAGCGGCGCCGCGUGGGUGAAGGAGCGUUUCGGCGCGUAAAGCCCUAUCGGCAGGGAAGAAGGAGGACGGUACCUGACUAAGAAGCCCCGGCUAACUACGUGCCAGCAGCCGCGGGAAUACGUAGGGGGCAAGCGUUAUCCGGAUUUACUGGGUGUAAAGGGGGCGCAGACGGCAGCGCAAGCCAGGAGUGAAAGCCCGGGGCCCAACCCCGGGACUGCUCUGGAAACUGCGGCGCUGGAGUACGGGAGGGGCAGGCGGAAUUCCUGGUGUAGCGGUGAAAUGCGUAGAUAUCAGGAGGAACACCAGUGGCGAAGGCGGCUUACUGGACGAUGACUGACGCUGAGGCUCGAAAGCGUGGGGAGCAAACAGGAUUAGAUACCCCCGUA